UACGGAGGGUGCAAGCGUUAUUCGGAAUUAUUGGGCGUAAAGGGCGCGUAGGCGGCCUCUUAAGUCAGAUGUGAAAGCCCGGGGCUUAACCCCGGAAGUGCAUUUGAAACUAAGGGGCUUGAGUAUGGGAGAGGGGAGUGGAAUUCCUGGUGUAGAGGUGAAAUUCGUAGAUAUCAGGAGGAACACCGGUGGCGAAGGCGACUUCCUGGACCAAUACUGACGCUGAGGCGCGAAGGCGUGGGGAGCAAAC
rnacentral:rRNA from 1 species